rnacentral:rRNA from 1 species
UACGUAGGGGUCGAGCGUUGUCCGGACUUACUGGGCGUAAAGCGUGGGUAGGUGGAUGCUGAUGUGCCGUGUGAAAGCGCCGCGCUUCUCGCGGCGAGGUCGCGGUAGACACAGCAUCUCGAGGCACGGAGAGGGGCGUAGAAUUCCCGGUGUAGUGGUGAAAUGCAUUGAGAUCGGAAAGAACACCAACGGCGAAAGCACUCUGCUGGGCCGACACUGACACUGAGAGACGAAAGCUAGGGGAGCAAAUGGG